UACAGAGGUCUCAAGCGUUGUUCGGAUUCAUUGGGCGUAAAGGGUGCGUAGGCGGCGCGGUAAGUCGGGUGUGAAAUCUCGGAGCUUAACUCCGAAACUGCAUUCGAUACUGCCGUGCUUGAGGACUGGAGAGGAGACUGGAAUUUACGGUGUAGCGGUGAAAUGCGUAGAUAUCGUAAGGAAGGCCAGUGGCGAAGGCGGGGUCUCUGGACAGUUCCUGACGCUGAGGCACGAAGGUCAGGGGGAGCAAACGGGG
rnacentral:rRNA from 1 species